rnacentral:lncRNA from 1 species
GCAGGUAUAUCAACCAUUCGUGUGCACCUAAUUGUGUGGCUGAAGUGGUGACUUUUGAGAGAGGACACAAAAUUAUCAUCAGCUCCAAUCGGAGAAUCCAGAAAGGAGAAGAGCUCUGCUAUGACUAUAAGUUUGACUUUGAAGAUGACCAGCACAAGAUUCCCUGUCACUGUGGAGCUGUGAACUGCCGGAAGUGGAUGAACUGAAAUGCAUUCCUUGCUAGCUCAGCGGGCGGCUUGUCCCUAGGAAGAGGCGAUUCAACACACCAUUGGAAUUUUGCAGACAGAAAGAGAUGUUUGUUUUCUGUUUUAUGACUUUUUGAAAAAGCUUCUGGGAGUUCUGAUUUCCUCAGUCCUUUAGGUUAAAGCAGCGCCAGGAGGAAGCUGACAGAAGCAGCGUUCCUGAAGUGGCCGAGGUUAAACGGAAUCACAGAAUGGUCCAGCACUUUUGGUUUUUUUUCUUUUCCUUUUCUUUCUUUUUUUGUUUGUUUUUUGUUUUUUGUUUUGUUUUUCCCUUGUGGGUGGGUUUCAUUGUUUUGGUUUUCUAGUCUCACUAAGGAGAAACUUUUACUGGGGCAAAGAGCCGAUGGCUGCCCUGCCCCGGGCAGGGGCCUUCCUAUGAAUGUAAGACUGAAAUCACCAGCGAAGGGGACAGAGAGUGCUGGCCACGGCCUUAUUAAAAAGGGGCAGGCCCUCUAACUUCAAAAUGUUUUUAAAUAAAGUAGACACCACUGAACAAGGAAUGUACUGAAAUGACUUCCUUAGGGAUAGAGCUAAGGGAUAAUAACUUGCACUAAAUACAUUUAAAUACUUGAUUCCAUGAGUCAGUUUAUUGUAGUUUUUGAUUUCUGUAAAAUAAGAGAAACUUUUGUAUUUAUUAUUGAAUAAGUGAAUGAAGCUAUUUUUAAAUAAAGUUAGAAGAAAGCCAAGCUGCUGCUGUUACCUGCAGAACUAACAAACCCUGUUACUUUGUACAGAUAUGUAAAUAUUUUGAGAAAAAAUACAGUAUAAAAAUAGUUAUUGACCAAAUGCUACCAGGCUCUGCAGCAGCUCGGGGGCUUAUAAAAUGUUCAUAGGGAUGUUACAAUAUAAUUUUGUGUUAUAAAAUAUGCCAUUAUAAUUAUGUAAUAACCAAAAUUUCAACCUAGAGUGUUGGGGGUUUUUUGGAAACUGCAGUCUAUUAGUACUCAAUGGUUUUAUACACCUUACUUCUGACAGAGCGGGGCGUAUGCUACGACUACAACUUUUAUAGCUGUUUUGGUAAUUUAAACUAAUUUUUUCAUAUUAUAUUGUUGCAUCCCUACUUCUUCAGUCAGGUUUUUUUGUGCUUACAAUUUGUGAUAACUGUGAAUAACUGCUUAAAAAUACACCCAAAUGGAGGCUGAAUUUUUUCUUCAGCAAAAGUAGUUUUGAUUAGAACUUUG